rnacentral:ncRNA from 2 species
GGGUGCCCGCCACAUGCGGUGGUGAUGGCAGGUGAAUGUUCAUGUGCAAGUCGGGCCGCUUGCA